CAUGACCGGAAGUGCGCGGGGCCCCCAAGAUGGCGCCUGAAACCCGGAAGUGAGCGCGGCGGCGGCGAAGCGCGGAGAAACUGAGGCGCCGCGGGCUCCGCGCCCGGCCGGACCCGGGUCCGAGGUCAUGAUGCCGCCCCCGCGGAGCAAGAAGCCCAGAUAGACGCCCCCGCGGCCCGGGUCGAGGAGCCGCCCGAUGCUGGCAGUGGGGCCCGCCAUGGACGGGGAGUUCCCUCAGCACGAGCCCCCGCCGACGGGCAGCGUCCUGUACAGCCCGCCGCCUCUGCAGACCCCGCUGUGCGGGUCCAGCGUCCAGAACGCCAUGCUGCACUGCCCGUGCUGGCACCCCU